UUUAUGGAAAACUUCCGAUAAUGGCUCAAUCCGCUUGGAAGUCAUGCGACAUCUGCCUGAGUGGACCAGGGCAACAAUAUUGUGAACAAUGUGAUCAGUGGCUGUGUGAUAAUUGUAAAACUUUACAUUUACGGUCAAAAAUCAGUAGAAAUCAUACUUUUCAAAGUGAACCAAAUAUAAACCAGGAAGACAAAUUAUUUUGUAAUGAUCAUGACGAAAAUUUCAUAUUUUACUGCAAUGAUUGUGAUAUACCAAUAUGCAAAUUAUGCAGCGUAAAAAUACACAAAAAACAUGAUAUGUCUGAAAUCAACGAAUCGACAGCGGGAUUACAGGCUACAGUAAAAACGAAAAUUGAAUCGGAGAUUAAAGUUGUCAAAACAAAUCUAGAUCAAAUUGAACAGGGAAUUAAACGAUACCAGAUCGAUGUUAAGGAUGCAGUUCGUGUCAUUACAGAAGAAGGAAAGCAGGUGAAGGAGUGGAUUGACGAGAAAAUACAAGACCUAUUAUCAUCAUUGGAACUCAAAGAGGGAGCAAUCAUUCGGUCAUUACAAUUUAUUAGAACUGGGUUUAAACAUGAUAUUGAAAAGUUAAAGAAAUGUCAGAAUGCCUUUACCGACAGCAAGAAAAUAACUGAUGUUACUAAACUUCGUAAACAGCUAAAACAAAUAAAGUCCGAUUUAGAUGACGCAAAAGAAAAACAGCCACCGGAAAUGCCAACAGUGACAUAUUUCAAAUAGAAUAUAUCAGAAGGAAAAACACAUACUUUAUUUGGGGACUUUUCAUUCCUGGAUGUAAUUUACCGAAGAGGGAAUACUGAACCAAAAAGCAAAAUGGGGAAGACUCACACAACAAAGAAUACCAGAGAACAACCUACAAAGACAAUGUAUAGAUAUCUGUACGCAUGCAGAACUUGUAGAACAGAAAUAGUUUCUGAG